rnacentral:lncRNA from 1 species
UAGCAAUUCCUGUCUUAGUCCGAGCAUUCUGUCAAACGUUUCGUCGGCUCAAUCUCAUAUAUUCGCCGGUAAUCCCACAGCCAUGUCGCUCAUCCCAAGCUGGUUCGGCGGCCGCCGCAGCAACGUCUUCGACCCUUUCUCCCUCGACCUCUGGGAACCCUUCAAGGACUUCCCUUUCCCUUCCUCCUCCCUUUCCGCCUCUGAUUUCCCCCAGGCGUUCCGGGAGAACACUGCUUUCGUGAACACGAGGAUCGACUGGAAGGAGACCCCGGAAGCCCACGUGUUCAAGGCGGAUCUCCCCGGGCUCAAGAAGGAGGAGGUCAAGGUGGAGAUCGAGGACGAUCGGGUGCGCCAGAUAAGCGGCGAGAGGAACGUGGAGAAGGAGGACAAGAACGACACGUGGCACCGGGUGGAGAGGAGCAGCGGGAAAUUCAUGAGGAAGUUCAGGUUGCCCGAGAACGCGAGGAUGGAUCAGGUGAAGGCGUCGAUGGAGAACGGGGUGCUCACCGUGACUGUUCCCAAGGUGGAGGAGAAGAAGCCGGAGGUCAAGGCCAUCGAGAUCUCUGGUUGAGAGAUGGUGAAUCUGCGGCUGGCGCGACAACUUGUGUAUACACGUACACAGAGUGAGUGUCUGCGUGUGCUGUCUGCUGUGUGGCUUUCGCAUGUCCUGAGUUGGCCUGAGUUGGGAGUCUCGGUCCUCGUCUUUGAUAUGGCGGUGUAAUAGGUUGGAAAUAUGGCGAUGUGACAUAACUAUAGUAACCUGUUUUAUGUGAUAUCGGUUCCUCAAAAUCUUUCGGUUUUCUCGCCUUUCGCUUCCCCAUUCAGCACCGAAUUACGGCCUUGUCCCAAGGGACUUAAUUUAGUUCUUUUUUGGGAUGGUUAAUUCAUUCUCUUGGAAGAAUUCCUGUGAAGUGCAAGUGUUGUACUCGCAGGUUGUGAUCAUUUGUUUUUUUUUUUUUUUUCAAUUGGGUUUGGGGGUACCUGCAAAUUGCAUCGAGAGAAGCUGACAACUUUCGGGAUGAAACGAGGCUUAGAACCAUGAUUCUCCUUUUGAGCUCAGCGCGAGCUGCAGGGUUUCUUAUGCUGCAUUGUAUUGGGUUUGUCAGAUAACAUGACUAGAUAUCCCAACAAGUUUUUUAUUUCCGCUUGAUCGUCAUCAAAUCAGAGAUAACAAGAUCAGAUAUCCUUUCCUGAUGCUUAGCUCGAUUUCGUCUUUGAAAGCUCCGGGUUUCAUCCUCAUCUCUUCCCCAUCAACCAUGAGUCUCCUCACCGCUUGCUCCAUCUCUCUCUGGUUUAGAUCACCCUCCAACUCCAAUCCCACCAUUCAAACGUGGCACGGGUACCCUGCCUUCACAUUCUGGUCCCUACGGUUGGUGUAUCGUUGGGACUCCUUAGGAAAUAAUUUCCAAGGAACUAGUUCCAUCUGCAAAAGGUCCAAAAGCCUCCCGAGUUACGUGUGCUAAAACUUGCACCUCAUGAGCCCAUCUCGUAACACGGCCAAUUUUUGUUGGCUUUUUUGGACCCUUGCGCUAACAGCUCGAUCCACUCUGAGCCUCUGACUGAGCGAGGUCGGACCAGCCGGAAGAAUGCCACUCUUUGCCAGCCCCCAAGCCGUUUCUGCAAACUCUCCCUGAUCUAUUUUGAAGCCAAGCUUUCCUAAGCUCACAAGUAUAACUGAAUUAUGUGCUUGCUUAUCAAGCCACAAGAGGCAACUGGUUUCUUCCCUCUAUUAUACUGGUUGGCAAAGCCGGAGCAACUUUGUGCAGCGAGCCUGGUGAAAAAAAUGGCGCUCGUUAUUGUCUAUGGAGUUGGUCCGGUAACUGUUUCUCCAGGCAGUCCACUGUUCCAGAAAAUGCCUGAAGAUGCUCUGUUGUUAAUCAGGAUGGCUGCUAACUUCAUCAUGGGUUCUAAAUCGCCUGGUGAUACAAGUCCAUGCAUCUCGUGGGAUAAGCGCCUGGAAUAGUCUCAAUCGAUGUUGGACCUAAAGAGUCAAGGUGCUGCAGCUUAGCAUGUAUUGGUUCUACGACUUCAUAGUCUGAUAGAAAACAUAAAAACUUAUCCAAGAUUUGAAUAUUCCAGCAAGUCAAAAGAGAGAUACAACUUUUAUUCGAAUUUGAUACACUGUAGACUGCUUUCUUCCUUCCUAGUUGGAUUGCUCGACAUGAAUACGAGAGAAUAUGAUAUUAUAUGCAGUUUCAGCACGUGUGGUACUGUUGACUUCAAUUACAUGCCUCCUCUGUCCUCUGACUAAAGGAAGAGGUAAUGACUGGUUUAGACGGUGGGGCAACGGCUAUUGGAGCGUUUUACCUUCUGGAAACUGAGUCGCCCUAAAGACUUGGUAUGCUUACCUUUUCUUUGCAGCAAGAGCAUUUUACGAAAACACAGAGAGCCCCGUUAAAGUACUGCUUAAUGAGUAGUAGACGAUGAAAAUUGCAAGCCAAACUCAAAAUAUGUCUACAUGGACGAAUGAUGCAAGCUGUUGAGCGCAAUUCCUAUUUGAGUCACGCUGAUUAAUUGACUCUCUCUUUAGAUUGGCCAAGCAGUUUCUUUAAAUCUUGAAGAGACCCUCGCAGUGCUUUGGGAUAGCAAACAUAAUCAAGUCAGGAGCCUUUCCAGUUUAGUAGAGUACGACCAAAGAGAGCGCAUUCUUAACAUCCAAUCAGUACUGUGUGAUUGUUACUCUUGAUUUCUAGUGAAAUUCCUAUCGAGCUCCAUCACUGAGGUAAAGAAGGGUUUACUGCAAGUAUCAUUAUCUUAGAGUUUGUUGUGUAUGUUGAUAUCCGAGGGUUAAAGAUACCUUUUCAAGGAAAAUAACUUUUCUUUUGGAGCCAAGGGGGUUCAGAGAAAACCAGCAGAGUGCCCUACUACAAGAGCGCAAAGCAAUGCUAGGAAGUUCUAUAUGAUGAGCUGCCACCUAGCAAAGUACAUCAAUUCAAUCUUUUCCAGUUAAUUUUGGUCAAAUUUUGUUGACUAAAUAUCGAUCGGUUGACGUGAUACGAUCGACGCUGACGUGGAUAAUUUUUAAUAAUAUUUUAAUUUUUUUGGAUUUGAAUUUUACUUAAUUUUUCUUUUUCUUUUUUUUCAUUUUUUUUUCUUCUUCUCCUUCCUCUAGUCAAUCGUCAGACCUUUGGCAAUUGGCCAUCGGCAAGGCUUGAGCCCUCGCCAGAGGCUGUGAGGGCGAUCGACAAUCAGCCAGAGAAGACAGCUGGCGAGGUUGAGGAGGAAGGAGGGGCACAAAGAAAAAAGAAGAAAAAAGAAAAGGAAAAAAGAAAAAGAAAAAGAAAAAGAAAAAAAAGAAAAAAGAAAAGAAAAGAAAAAGGAAAAAAAUAUUAAAAUAUUAAAAUAUUAAAAUAUUAAAAUAUUAAAAUAUUAAAAUAUUAAAAUAUUAAAAUAUUAUUAAAAGUUGUUAACGUCAGCGUCAAUCGUGUCAUAUCCAAUGCUUAGUCAGCAAAAUCCGGCUAAAAUUAAUUGGAAAUUAUCGAAUUAACACAAAAUAAAAAUAUUUAAGACUAAAUUGGUAUUUAUAAAAUAUUUAGAAUUAAAUUAGCAUAAAUAUAAAAUGUUUAGGAUUUCUUGGACACUUUUCCCCCAAUAAACUUGAUUUAUAUUCAUGAUUUAGGAUUCAUUGAAUGUAAUUAGACAAAAUCUUAUUUAAUCAAGAAUAGAGGAAAUUAAGGGCGAUUACAAAAUAGAAAUAGAAAUCGUCAUUGUCGUAAUGUGACGGACCAGGUGUUUCCAGAUGGACCUACGGGAUUCGCCAUUUCACUUGAACGUUCGUCCGUCCGUCCGUUCGAGCGGGACUGGAAAGACCGCGAAGGUACUAGAAUGAUCCUCUCUUUCCUAUUUAACUCCACGACUUGUCUUCUAAGCUCCAUCGUCGAACGGUAGCAAUUCUCAUCAUCUUCCUUAAGCAUUCCAUCGAACACUUUCUCCGCUCGGUCUCGCAUUUUCACCGGUAAACCCAACAACCAUGUCGCUCAUCCCAAGCUGGUUCGGCGGCCGCCGCAGCAACGUCUUCGACCCUUUCUCCCUCGACCUCUGGGACCCCUUCAAGGACUUCCCUUUCCCUUCCUCCUCCCUCUCCGCCUCUAAUUUCCCUCAAACUGUCCGGGAAAAUACUGCUUUUGUGAACACGAGGAUCGACUGGAGGGAGACCCCGGAGGCCCACGUGUUCAAGGCGGAUCUCCCCGGGCUCAAGAAGGAGGAAGUCAAGGUGGAGAUCGAGGACGAUCGGGUGCUCCAGAUAAGCGGCGAGAGGAACGUGGAGAAGGAGGACAAGAACGACACGUGGCACCGGGUGGAGAGGAGCAGCGGGAAAUUCAUGAGGAGGUUCAGGCUGCCGGAGAACGCGAGGAUGGAUCAGGUGAAGGCCUCGAUGGAGAAUGGGGUGCUCACCAUCACUGUUCCCAAGGUGGAGGAGAAGAAGCCUGAGGUCAAGGCCAUCGAGAUCUCCGGUUGAGAGUCGGUGAAUCUAUGGUCCUCGUUACGACUUGUGUCUAUAUAUAGAGCAAGUAUGCUGUGCUAUGUGAGGGUUGGGAGGCUCGGUCCCAUGGUGUCUGAUAUAGCGAUAUGUUGUCCGCCGAUGACUCUUUAGUUGUAAUGAAAUUCGAAGUUACUAUUUUCUAACUUCUGUUUGAGGUGAUAUUGGUUGCUCAAAAGUCUUUUGAUUGUGUUUUGUUCGUGGGACGUUCCUUAUUUUUAUUUACAUACUGCUUCCGGGAGUUCAAUUAGUUUAAUUAUUUUUGGAUGAUUAAUUCAAUUUCUGGGAAGGAUACCUCCAAAGUGCAGGAUGGACUUUGCACAUCGUGAUCGUUUUUUCAGUUGGGUUUGGAGGUACCGGCAAUAUGGAGAAGCUGAUAAGUUUGGGAUGAAAACAAGCUAGAAACCACAUUACUCCUUUGGACUCAGAGCAAGGUUUGGGGUUCCUUCUGCUGCAUUGUAUCAAAUUUGUCAGGUAACAGGAUAAAAUAUUUGAUAUGGCCUUCAAUUUCUGUUCCAUCAUCAUCAGAUCAGAGAAAAAUGAUCAGAUUCACUGGUUCCUAUAUUGAGGCGUGCGAAGUAUCGCCUUUUCCGAUGCUCAUGUUGAUUUGGUCUUUGAAAGCCGCGGCUCUCAGCCUUAUCUCUGUCCCUUCCUUGCCAACCGUCAGCCUCCUCACAGCUUGCUCCAUCUCUUUCUGGUCUAGACCACACUCUAACUCCAAUCCCACCAUCCGAACGUGGCGCGAGUACCUCACCUUAGCAUUCUGGUCCCUGAAGCACGGUGGGCAUAUCAUUGGGACUCCUUUGGAAAUGAUUUCCAAGGUCGAAUUCCAUCUGCAAUGGGUCCAAAAGCUUCCUGUGGCACGGUGUGCUAAAACUUCCUCUAGAGCCCAUCUCGCAACACGGCCAGUUUCUUCGUUGGCUUCUUCGAACCCUUCUGGUAAUAGCUCGAUCCACUCUAAGCCUCUGUCUGAGCCAGGCCGGAUUAGCCACAAGAACGCUGCUGUUUGCCAACCCCCAAGCCAAUUCUGCAAACUUUCCCUAAUUCAUUGAAGCCAAGCUUCCUAAGCUCACAUAAAUAACUUAGGUAAAUUUGUAUGUAGAUUAAAAAAAAGUCUAUUUAUGAUUUUAAGCAAGCUUGUAGAUAAUGGUAUUUAAAGUUUCAUAGUGUUGUCAAAUAUAAAGUAUAUACUGUAUACAUUUUUUCGUACUUUAUGUAGAUGAUAUCUUACUUGCGAGUAAUGACAUUAGAUUAAUGGGACAAAAGUGGAUGUUAUCAAAAAAAUUUAACAUGAAAGAUCUUGGUGAUGCGUUUUUUGUUCUUGGCAUUGAGGUCCAUAUGGAUUGUUAUUGGGUUUGUUUUAGAGGGCAUAUGUUGAUCGUAUUUUAGAAAGAUUCAAUAUGCAUCAUUGCAAUCCGGGGUGAUAAGUUGAGUCUUUCACGAUAUCCUCGUUUAGAUUUUGAGAAAGUUCAAAUGAAUGAUGUACCUUAUGCUAGUAUGCUUGGAAGUAUCAUGUAUACUCAAGUUUACAUUAGACCAGAUUUAUUUUUGCGACAUGACUUCUAGGUAGAUAUUAGUCAAAUCUAGAAUGUGAUCACUGGGUUGUUGUCAAGAAGAUUUUAAGGUAUUUAAAGAGGACAAUAGAUUAUAUGCUGAUUUAUAGACAUGUUCCGAACUUACAACUAAUAGGGUAUUUGGAUGUAGAUUUUGCUGGUUGUUAAGAUGAUAUGAAAUCGACGGUGAAAUAUAUAUUUAUAUUGGCAGGAGGUGCAGAAAUCUAUAUAUUCUUCUACCAUGCAAAUAGAGUUUGUAGCAUGCUUUUCAGCUGCUAUUUAGGCGAUUUGGCUCUAGAAUCUUAUUAGGGAGUUAACUGUUUUUUAUUUUGUGGGUAGAGCUAUAUAGUUAUAAUAAUAAUAGAAGUCUCCAAAAGUCUAAGCAUAUGGAGGUCAAGUUUAUGACCAUAAAUGAAUCAGUACAGAAUAGUGGUGUUACAGUAGAUCAUAUUCCUACAGAUGAUAUGAUUGUAGAUCCAUUAACUAAAGACCUAUGCCCUUAUGUGUUUGAGUGAUAUGUCGUUAGCAUGGGUUUAGGAGUAUUUUGGGAUGUUGUUAUUUAGUGAAAGUUGUUUUUAUUUUUCUUUUAAUAAAGUUUAUAUUUGUGUUUUUUAUAUUUAGUAGCGUUUUGAUAUAUAUUAACAUUUGCAUUCAAUAAAAUAUUUUUAAAUAAAUUGUUAUUAUGUUGAAUAUAUAUUGAUAAAAGUCUUAAAUGUAUUAUAUAAACCUUAAGUGAAUGUUAAGGGCAUCGGGUUAUUAACCUUGAGUAUAUGUUUUAUCACACAUAAAGAAAUAUUAACUGUAAAGGCAAGGCAUAUGUGGGUUUACUAGAACCAUAAAAAUAUUUUCUAAUGGCAUAGAUUUUUGUGAUACUUAAAAUGAGAGAAUGGUGAUUGACAAAUGGGAUCUCUCUAUGAGAGAUGUUAUUCAUUUAUCACACUACCAUAUUAAAUCCAUAUCAAUAAAGUUAAAAGCACUCAUAAGCACUCGUGACCAUGAAAGGUUUUGUGUGUAUACAUGCAGCUCCUACCAUGAUUUGGUGUUUGAGACUUUAUAUGAUGUAAUUGACUAUUAAGAAUUAUCUCUUAAAUUAAUGCGCGCACAUACAAUACAAUUUCAAUUAAUAUAACUCAAGUGGAAGAGUAUAAAAGUUUUUCUAAUGUGGGUUACAUUAAUUAAUAUUGUAAUUUACCAUUUUUUGGGAUUGGUCUAAAGUGAGAUAGAAAGAUUUUUAAUUAAUUUAUAUGGGGCUAGUUAGUGUGGGUUAAGUUGAACUUGACUCGUAAUAAGAUGGCCUAGUUGGAACACUAUAGAUAGUCGUCAAGUCUCUCCUCUAACUCUAAUUUUCAUAAUUAUCCUCACAAAUGAGCAUUUACCUAACGCAAAAGGGUGAGGGGGUUGUCUCAUUGAGCCAAUGAUAUAGAGGGCAAAGAGGAGAAUGACUUGUGCUUGAAUCAUCGCUUUUUUGCUUUCGCAUCAAGAACGAUGAAUUCCAAAACAAGUGUAUUAAUUUUUUUACUUGAUUAUAUGUGUUUUUGUUCUAGUUAUGGAGAUAAUGAGUUACGUGUUUUAGCAUCUAACAUCCCUCUCUGAAGUCUAGAUCUAAAUUUGGGUUGCCCGUCUAAUGCUCCAUCGAGGGUUGCUAGGGGCGGUUGAGGAUCUAGAAGAGCACAUCUAGGUCAUUGGGGUCUAGGUUGGCAUGGGUCUAGGUUGCUAGUCUAAUGCUCCACUGAAUGUUGCGCAAGGUUUGUUGAUGAUGGCUAAGGUUGUCUGAUGGUUUGGGUUUGCUUGUUUGGGUCGAUGAUUGUGUGUUUAGGUCGCCUAUUUGUAUGCUCUAACGAGGGUCAUCAAGGGAGGCCGAGGGUCUCCAAGGAUUUGGGUUGACGAUCGCGUAGUUUAGGUUGUCGAGGUCAUGCGACCCUCAGGGUCUCCUAGCUUAGGCUACCCGAGGUUGCUUCACCUCGGUGUCACCUUGCAUGACCACUUCGACGAUUCAAUUGUUGCUGACAUUCAAUUUGCUUCCCAAGUUUGCUCCCAAGAUGAGAUAUCUCUACUCUCCAGUAGUUAUAUAGUUUAUUUUUUUUCGUUCUUUUUUCUACCUUCGAAGUUACAUUGCAAAAAUAUCAUGAAAGUCAUUUAACCAAACAAUAUUUACUUUGAGUCAAAGAUUCAUGGGGCAAUGACUUUGCAUUCUCUCAAAACUCUCCCAAACACGCAUUUUGAGUUACAGUGAUUGGUUUCAAGUUGGGUAGAUUUUAGACCUCAAAUCUGAAAUCUAAUCUAUUAGAACCGAUUCCAAGUUUUUGGAACCUAAAACCUAUUUUGUAUGUCUUGGAACCUGUCAUUCUUUUGUUCUUUUUUUUUUAGGUUCACUUUUUAUAGCAAAAAAAUAUAAGUAAUAAAAUGGUUCAAAGUAAAAGAUGACUAAGGGUGAAGGAGCAAAGGUGAGUUAGGAACGAGCGAGUGUGAGCCGUGAGUGAGCGAGGAGGAGGGUGAGUCGCCAGCAAGCGAGAGAGAAUUGCGAAAUGUUUGAGUAAGGUUGAAGAGAACAGAGAAAAAAGAGAUAGAAAAAUAUGUUAAGAGAAAAAUUGGGGUUUCUAAACUUUAUGAAACUUGUACCAAAUUUGAUUCAAUGACAUAUGGUUCUUCUUAACUGACCAAAAAAAGAAAAAAAGAAAAAAAAAAGACAUAUGGUUCUUCAGUUGAAAUUGCAAACAAGAUUGGUUCGAACGACUGAUGAUCCGGUUCUCGAAUAGAACUGGCCCGACAACAGAGCUCUACUAACAAACCCUAGUUUCAUAAAAAUCCUAGUAUCGUAAUGUCAUUUGCCCAGUAUUUACCUAGUAUGAGAUGAUUAUAUUUUUUUAGCAAGAGGAAUUCCUUUAAUCGCAUCUUUUGAUUAGUGGCAAAUAAACUUGAUUUAUAUUCAUGAUUUAGGAUCCAUCGAAUUUAAUUGGACAAAAUCUUAUUUAAUCAAGAAUAGAGGAAAUUAAGGGCGGUCGCAAAAUAGAAAUAGAAUUCGUCAUCAUCGUAAUGUGACGGACCAAGUGUUUCCAGAUAGACCUCCGGGGUUCGCCAUUUCGCUCGAACGUUCGUCCACCGACACUCAGAAAGACCGCGAAGGUACGAGAAUGAUCCUCUCUUUCCUAUUUAACUCCCAACUUGUCUUCCAGGCUCCAUCGUCAAACGGUAGCAAUUCUCAUCGUCUAUCUCAAGCAUUCUAUCGAACACUUUCUCCGCUCAGUCUCGCAUUUUCACCAGUAAACCCAACAACCAUGUCGCUCAUCCCAAGCUGGUUCGGCGGCCGCCGCAGCAAUGUCUUCGACCCUUUCUCCCUCGACCUCUGGGACCCCUUCAAGGAUUUCCCUUUCCCUUCCUCCUCCCUCUCCGCCUCUAAUUUCCCUCAAACCAUCCGAGAAAAUACUGCUUUUGUGAACACGAGGAUCGACUGGAGGGAGACCCCGGAGGCCCACGUGUUUAAGGCGGAUCUCCCAGGGCUCAAGAAGGAGGAAGUCAAGGUGGAGAUCGAGGACGAUCGGGUGCUCCAGAUAAGCGGCGAGAGGAACGUGGAGAAGGAGGACAAGAACGACACCUGGCACCGGGUGGAGAGGAGCAGCGGGAAGUUCAUGAGGAGGUUCAGGGUGCCGGAGAACGCGAGGAUGGAUCAGGUGAAGGCCUCGAUGGAGAAUGGGGUGCUCACCAUCACUGUUCCCAAGGUGGAGGAGAAGAAGCCUGAGGUCAAGGCCAUCGAGAUCUCCGGUUGAGAGUCGGUGAAUCUAUGGUCCGCGUUGCGACUUGUGUCUAUAUAGAGAGCAAGUAUGCUGUGUUAUGUGUCGGUUGGGAGGCUUGGUCCCAUGGUGUCUGAUAUAGCGAUAUGCUGUCCUACAAUGACUCUUUACUUGUAAUGAAAUUCGAAGUUACUAUUUCCUAACUGCUGUGUGAGGUGAUAUUGGUUCCUCAAAAGUUUUUUGAUUGUGUUUUGUUCGUGGGACGUUCCUUAUUUUUAUUUGCACACUGCUUCUGGGAGUUCAAUUAGUUUCAUUACUUUUGGAUGAUUAUUUCAAUUUCUGGGAAGGAUUUCUCCAAAGUGGAGGGGACGUACUUUGCAUGUUGUGAUCGUUUUUUAAGUUGGGUUUGGAGGUACCUGCAAUAUGGAGAAGCUGAUAAGUUUGGGAUGAAAACAAGCUAGAAACCACAUUGCUCCCUUUGGACUCAGUGCAAGGUUUGGGGUUCCUUCUGCUGCAUUGUAUCAAAUUUGUCAGGUAACAGGAUAAAAUAUUUGAUGUGGCCUUCAAUUUCUGUUCCAUCAUCAUCAGAUCAGAGAGAAAUGAUCAGAUUCACUGGUUCCUAUAUUGAGGCGUGCGAAGUAUCGCCUUUUCCGAUGCUCAUGUUGAUUUGGUCUUUUAAAAGCCGCGGCUCUCAGCCUCAUCUCUGUCCCUUCCUCGCCAACCGUCAGCCUUCUCACAGCUUGCUCCAUCUCUUUCUGGUCUAGACCACACUCUAACUCCAAUCCCACCAUCCGAACGUGGCGCGAGUACCUCACCUUAGCAUUCUGGUCCCUGAAGCACGAUGGGCUUAUCAUUGGGACUCCUUCGGAAAUUAUUUCCAAGGUCGAAUUCCAUCUGCAAUAAGUCCAAAAGCUUCCUGUGGCACGUUGUGCUAAAACUUCCUCUUGCAGAGCCCAUCGUGCAACACGGCCAGUUUCCUCGUUGGCUUCUUCGAACCCUUCUGGUAAUAGCUCGAUCCACUCUGAGCCUCUGUCUGAGCUAGGCCGGAUCAGCCACAAGAACGCUGCUGUUCGCCAACCCCCAAGCCAAUUCUACAAGCUUUCCCUGAUUCAUUGAAGCCAAGCUUCCUACGCUCACAUAAAUAACUCAGGUAAAUUUGUAUGUAGAUUAAAAAAAGUCUAUUUAUGACUUUAAGCAAGUUUCUAGAUAAUGGUAUUUAAAGUUUCAUAAUGUUGUCAAAUAUAAAGUAGAUCAGUGUAUAUACCGUAUAUAUUUUUCUUGUACUUUAUGUAGAUGAUAUGUUACUUACGAGUAAUAAUAUUAGAUUACUGCAUGCAUGAGACAAAGUGGAUGUUAUCAAAAAAUUUUAACGUGAAAGACUUGUCUUUUGUUCUUGGCAUUGAGGUCUAUAUGGAUUGUUCUCGUUGUUAAUUGGGUUUGUCUUAGAGGACAUAUGUUGAUCGUAUUUUAGAAAGAUUCAAUAUGCAGCAUUGCAAUCCAGGGUGAUAAAUUGAGUCUUUUAAAAUAUCCUAAUUCAGAUUUUGAAAAAGCUCAAAUGAAUGAUGUAUCUUAUGCUAGUGUGCUUGGAAAUAUUAUGUAUGUUCAAGUUUGCAUUAAACCAUAUAUUACUUUUGCGAUAGGAUUUCUAGGCAGAUAUUAGUCAAAUCUAGGAUGUGAUCAUUAGUGUUGGAGAAAUCUUUCCAGAAUAUUUUGAAACUGACAAAACAUUUCUAUCAGUCUAAGUCUGGAUAUCGAUAGUUAAAGUCUCAAGACUUUAUAGUCUCAAGACUUUGUAAUCUCAAGACUCAAGACUCAAGACUCAAGACUCAAAAACAUUCUCACUAACAGUCUUUCUAAUCCAGUGUUGAAGGAAAUCCAAAGCCGAGGUUUAUGGUUGAGGAUUUGAUCCUAUCCUCUGGAAUAGAUUCUUUGGUUGGAUAAUCAUUUCGGAUUCUUUAAUUCUUAUCUAAGAUCGAUUGAAGAUCCGAUGGUCGACGAAAUAAUCUUGGAUUAUUCUAUUCUUGGAAACCGAGAUCCUGAUUGUAUGGGCGAACAGGAUUGAUGGGCUAUCAUCAGAUUCCUUAAAUAGCUCGGAUGAUCUUCUUGAUUGAUUCCGUCCAACGGGUAGAUUGGAGGAAUUCCUUUGGUAAGUGCCAACGGCUAUGAUGGCAUGAAGGAGUAUAAAAGGAAGACGUUCUAGUUGUCUUAAGUGUGUGAUCGAUAGAAAAAUUCCAGAGUCUUAAGAUCCUUGAUUGUUAGUUGAGACUGAGCGAAAUUGUAUACAGAGAGUGUUUAUACUUGGUGACGCCUUGAGUGAGUGUGGUAGAUCAUCUACACCUAGAAAUCAAGGAAGAUCAACACUGUAACAACUCUUUGAUCAUAGUGGAAUCCAGCCAAUCGGCUGUCAGUGCAGAAGAGUGGACGUAGGCUUGAAUCAAGCCGAACCACUAUAAACCGAGUGUUCAAUUCUCUCUUUCCCUUACUCAGUCUUGCGAUUGAAUUUUUAACUGUUGCAAAUUCUCUAAUUGUUUAAAUAUCGUGCAAGCUUCGAGAAAGUUUUUGUAUACCUAUUCACCCCCCCUCUAGGUACUCGUACUAGCUAUUUCAAUUAGGUCGUUGCCAAGAAAAUUUUAAGGUACUUAAAUAGGACAAUAAAUUAUAUGCUGAUUUAUAGACAUGUUCCGGAUUUACAGCUAAUAGGGUAUUCGGAUGCAGAUUAUGAUGAUUGUCAAGAUGAUAUGAAAUCGACGACAAAAUACAUAUUUAUGUUGGCAGGAGAUGUAGAAAUCUAUAUAUUCUUCUAUCAUGCAAGCAGAGUUUAUAGCAUGUUUUUCAGCUGUUACUCAAGCUAUUUAGCUCCAGAACCUUAUUAGGGAGUUAACUGUUUUUUAUUUUGUAGAUAGGCCUAUAUAGUUAUAUUGUAACAAUAACUCUGCAUUGUUGUUUAUUAAUAAUAAUAGAAGUCUUAAGAAGUCUAAACACAUGAAGGUCAAGUUUAUGACGAUAAAUGAAUCAGUACAGAAUGAUGACGUUGCAGUAGAUCAUAUUCCUACAGAUGAUAUGAUUGUAAAUCCAUUAACUAAAGGCCUAUGCUCUUGUGUGUUUGAGCGGUAUGUCAUUAGCAUGGGUUUAGGAGCAUUUUUGGAUGCUGUUAUUUAGUGAGAGCUGUUUUUAUUUUUCUUUUAAUAAAGUUUAUAUUUGUGUUUGUUACAUUUAGUAGUGUUUUGAUAUAUACCAACGUUUACAUUCAAUAAAAUAUUUUUAAAUGAAUUGAUAUUAUGUUUAAUAUAUAUUGAUAAAAGUUUCAAUGUAUUGUAUAAACUUUAAGUGAAUGUUAAGGGCAUCCGUUAUUAGCCUUGAGCAUAUGUUUUAUUACACAUAAAGAAAUAUUAAUUGUAAAGAUAAGGCAUAUGUGGGUUCACUAAAAUCAUAAAAAUAUUUUUUAAUGGCAUAGGUUUUUGUGACACUUAAGGUAAGAGAAUGAUGAUUGACAAAUAGGAUCUCUUUAUUAGAGAUGUUAUCCAUUUACCACACUACCAUAUUAAAUCUAUAUCAAUAAAGUUGAAAGUACUCGUGACCAUGAAAGGUUUUUUGUGUAUACAUGCAGUUCCUAUUAUGAUUUGGUGUUUGAGACUUUAUAGGAUGUGAUUGAUUAUUAAGAAUUAUCUCUAAACUAAUGUGCGCACAUACAGUACAAUUUCAAUUAAUAUAACUCAAGUGGAAGAAGAUAAAAGUUUUCAUAAUGUGGGUUACAUUAAUUAAUAUUAUAAUUUACCGUUUUAUGAGAUUGGUCUAAAGUGAGAUAUAAAGUUUAUUAAUUAAUCUAAUAUGGGGUUGGUUAGUGUGGGUCAAGUUGAACUUGACCUGUAAUGAGAUGGUUUAGUUGGAACAUUAUAAAUAGUGCUCAAGUCUCUUCUCUAACCAUAAUUUUUAUAAUUAUCCUCAUAAAUGAGCAUUUACCUAACACAAAAGAGUGAGGGGGCCGUCUUUUUGAGUCAAUGAUAUAAAGGGCAAUAGAGGAUAAUGACUUGUAUUUGAAUCAUCGCUUUUUUGCUUUCGCAUCAAGAGUGAUGAAUUCCAAAACAAGUGCGUUAAUAUUUCUACUUGAUUAUAUGUGUUCUUGUUCUAGUUAUGGAGAUCAUAGGUUACGCAUUUUAACGUCUAACAUCCCUCUCUGAAGUCUAGAUCUAAAUUUGGGUCGCCCGUCAAAUGCUCCGUCGAGGGUUGUUAGGGGCGGUCGAGGAUCUAGAAGAGCAUGUCUGAGGUCUAGGUUGGCAUGGGUCUAGGUUGCUAGUCUAAUGCUCCACUGAAUGUUGCGCAAGGUUUGUUGACGAUGGCUAAGGCUGUACGAUGGUUUGGGUUUGUUUGUUUGGGUUGAUGAUUGUGUGUUUAGAUCACCUAUCUGAUGCUCUAUCGAGGGUCGUCAAGGGUGGCCAAGGAUCUCCAAGGAUCUGGGUUGACGAUCGAGUAGUCUGGGUCGUCAAGGUCAUGCGACCCUCAGGGUCUUCUAGCUUAGGCUACCCGAGGUUGCUUCACCCUAUGUAGCAUGGAUACUCUCCAGAAGCCUUUGUGUCGUGUCCGACAUUCCGACACGUGUCCGACACGUUCCGACACGCUCCGACACACAGUUAACGAGUGUCGAAAAAUCCGACACGUGGCCAACUCUCUCCGACACGCGAAUCCAGAAUUUCGACACGCACGGGGUCAAUUUUAAAAAUUUCUAAUACUUGAGGGGUCAAAAUAUAAAUAUAUAUAAAAGAAGUAAUAAAAGAAGUAAUAAAAUUGCUAUAAAUAUACACACACGGGGUCAAUAUUUUUUUUUUCAGUUUUGUUUUUUUUAGAAUUGUUUUAUUUUUUUAAAAGUCUUUUACUAUGAAGAAGUAAUAAAAAAUGCUAUAUAUGAUAAAUAAAUAAAUUUAAAAAUAUCAUUUCAGCAUUUUUCUUUAAACAAUGUUUUUUUUCUCUAUGUUUUGUGUAUUAUUGUAACAAAUUAAAAUAAUGAAUGAUAUUAUUUAAUAUUUUUCGUGUAAAUUAAUUCUAAGCUAUUAUUAUUAUUAUUAUUUAUGUAUUAUAUAUAAAAAUAUAUUUAAUAUAUAACGUGUCGGAACGUGUCGAAAUUCUCUAUUUUUAAGAAAUAUCGUGUCGGCGUGUCAUGUCAUGUCGUAUCGUAUGUCGCAUGUCCGUGUUGGUGCUACAUAGGCUUCACCUCGGUGUUACCUUGCAUGACCUCUUUGACAAGUCAAUUGCCGCUGGCAUUCAAUUUGCCUUCCAAGUUUGCUCCCAAGAUGAGAUAUCUCUACUCUUCAGUAGUUAUAUACUUUAUUUUUUUUUUCCUUCUUUUUUCUACCUUCAAAGUUACAUUGCAAAAAUAUCAUGAAAGUCACUUAACCAAACAAUAUUUACUUUGAGUCAAAGAUUUAUGGGGCAAUGACUUUGCAUUCUCUCAAAACUCUCCCAAACACGCAUUCUAAGUUAAAAGUGAUUGGUUUUAAGGUGGGUAGAUUUUAGACCUAGAAUCUGAAAUCUAAUCUAUUAGAACCGAUUUCCAGUUUUUGGAACCUAAAACCUAUCUCGUAUGUCUUGGAACCUGUCAUUCUUUUGUUCCUUUUUUUAGGUUCACUUUUUAUAGCAAAAUGAUAUAAGUAAUAAAAUGGUUCAAAGUAAAAGAUGACUGAGGGUGAAGGAGCAAAGGUGAGUUAGGAACGAGCGAGGGUGAGCCGUGAGUGAGCGAGGAGGAGGGUGAGUGCCAGCAAGCGAGAGAGAAUUGCGAAAUGUUUGAGUAAGGUUGAAGAGAACAGAAAAAAAGAGAGAGAGAGAAAAAUAUGUUAAGAGAAAAACUGGGGUUUCUAAACUUUAUGAAACUUGUACCAAAUUUGAUCCGAUGACAUAUGGUUCUUCAGUCGAAAUUGCAAACAAGAUUGGUUCCAACGACUAAUGAUCUGGUUCUCGAAUAGAACCGGCCCGACAGCAGAGCCCUACUAACAAACCCGAGUGUCGCAAAAAUCCUAGUGUCGUAACGUCAUCGGCUUAGUAUCUGCCUAGUAUGAGAUGAUUAUAUUUUUUUAGCAAGAGGAACUCCUUGAAUCGCAUCUUUUAAUUAGUGGCAAAUAAACUUCAUUUAUAUUCAUGAUUUAGGAUCCAUCGAUUUUAAUUGGACAAAAUCUUAUUUAAUCAAGAAUAGAGGAAAUUAAGGGCGAUAGCAAAAUAGAAAUAGAAUUCAUCAUCAUCGUAAUGUGACGGACAAGUGUUUCCAGAUGGACCUACGGGAUUCGCCAUUUCUCUCGAACGUUCGUCCACCGACACUCAGAAAGACCGCGAAGGUACGAGAAUGAUUCUCUCUUUCCUAUUUAACUCCCACCUUGUCUUCCAGGCUCCCUCGUCAAACGGUAGCAAUUCUCAUCAUCUAUCUCAAGCAUUCUAUCGAACACUUUCUCCGCUCAGUCUCGCAUUUUCACCGGUAAACCCAACAACCAUGUCACUCAUCCCAAGCUGGUUCGGCGGCCGCCGCAGCAACGUCUUCGACCCUUUCUCCCUCGACCUCUGGGACCCCUUCAAGGACUUCCCUUUCCCUUCCUCCUCCCUUUCCGCCUCUAAUUUCCCUCAAACCAUCCGAGAAAAUACUGCUUUCGUGAACACGAGGAUCGACUGGAAGGAGACCCCGGAAGCCCACGUGUUCAAGGCGGAUCUCCCCGGGCUCAAGAAGGAGGAGGUCAAGGUGCAGAUCGAGGACGAUCGGGUGCUCCAGAUAAGCGGCGAGAGGAACGUGGAGAAGGAGGACAAGAACGACACGUGGCACCGGGUGGAGAGGAGCAGCGGGAAAUUCAUGAGGAGGUUCAGGUUGCCCGAGAACGCGAGGAUGGAUCAGUGAAAGGCGUCGAUGGAGAACGGGGUGCUCACCGUCAGUGUUCCCAAGGUGAGGAGAAGAAGCCUGAGGUCAAGGCCAUCGAGAUCUCCAGUUGAGAGUCGGUGAUCUAUGGUUUUCGUUGCGACUGUGUCUAUAUAUAGAGCAAAUAUGCUAUGUUAUGUGUGGAUUGGGAGGCUCGGUCCCAUGGUCUCUGAUAUGGCGAUAUGUUGUCCGACGAUGACUCUUUAGUUGUAAUAAAAUUCUAAGUUACUAUUUCCUAACUUCUGUUGAGGUGAUAUUGGUUCCUCAAAAGUCUUUUGAUUGUGUUUUGUUCGUGGGACGCUGCUUAUUUUGAUUUCCAUACUGCUUCCGGGAGUUCAAUUAGUUUCAUUAUGUUUGGAUGAUUAAUUCAAUUUCUGGGAAGGAUCCCUCCAAAGUAGAAGGGACGUACUUUGCACGUUGUGAUCGUUUUUUCAGUUGGGUUUGGAGGUACCUGCAAUAUGGAGAAGCUGAUAAGUUUGGGAUGAAAACAAGCUAGAAACCACGUUACUCCUUUUGAGGUCAGUGCAAGGUUUGGGGUUCCUUCUGCUGCAUUGUAGCAAAUUUGUCAGGUAAAAGGAUAAAAUAUUUGAUGUGGCCUUCAAUUUCUGUUCGAUCAUCGUCAGAUUAGAGAGAAAUGAUCAAAUUCACUGGUUCCUAUAUUGUGGCGUGCGAAGGACCGCCUUUUCCGAUGCUCAUGUUGAUUUGGUCUUUGAAAGCUGUGGCUCUCAGCCUCAUCUCUGUCCGUUCCUCGCCAACCGUCAGCCUCCUCACAGCUUGCUCCAUCUCUUUCUGGUCUAGACCACGCUCUUAACUCGAAUCCCACCAUCCAAACGUGGUGCGAGUACCUUACCUU